rnacentral:lncRNA from 1 species
GCAAACUCGAAGACCAGAUUGAUAUGACCACACCAUCGAUGAAAAUUGCAAGGUGGAUCAAGUACCAUGGUCCUCAACGUUCUUGCACUUUAAAGGGAUGUUGAUGUUGUGUGAUAGGGCUCUGCUUCCAAGGAAUCCUCAGAAUCGCUUGCAGCCAUGUCGAUUGUCACCCGCCAAAAUAAUACUCAUCCCACGUAUGAUUUUGAGGCCACUUUACCGAUGAUUUUGAAUUAAUGUCCCUCCGAAAAUAUCUGAAGCAAACUGACAAACAUUAUGAUGUUGAAUUAAUGUCCCUCCGAAAAUAUCUGAAGCAAACUGACAAACAUUUUCGAUACCCCCUUUCUGAUCGCCUGCUCUGGAAUUAUGUCACCAGCUGCACUCAUUUGAUCGCAUUCUUGCCGUCGCCUUGUCAGAGUCUUGCCAUUGGCUUAUCAACUCAUUGCCGGCAUCUUGAUGAUCUCUCUAUUCAGCAUAAGAGGAACGUCAUUCUGAAUGGAGAUGAAGCUAACAAACAGCUAGAGGGAGGUAUUGAAAGUAUCAGGGGGCUUCCUGCACAAUGA